GACGCGGGGAUGUGCGUCCAGAAACAUUUCGUCUAUUUCCAGACCCAACCCGACAUCUACGGCGGGGCUGUCCUCGGCUGCGCCUGUCCUAAAAUGGCGCGGUAUGGAGUCCGAGUCGCCAUCUUUCCUACUGGCUUUGGAGUCCUUUGGUAGCGAGUUUUCCUGGGAAAUUUCCUCGGUCCUGAGCGGUUCUGCUUCUUCUUCUUCGGCGGGAACGUCCGGACUGCUGAACGAACUUGUGGAAAAACAGGACCAAGAACAGAGAGAUCGCACUUUUCUUCAUGUGGAGCCCAGGAGGGGAAUGCUGGAGAUUCUGCUGAAUGAGGAACUGACCUUCAAAUGGAGACGCUGACAAUCUGGAGGAUCUGAUUAGCACCUUCAAAGCUCAAAUAAUACUUGAACUACGACCCCAAACCCCAGAGGAGUUGAAAAAGAAAUUCAAACCACUUCAUCCACCCAUCACAACGGGUCAGGAUCGUAUCCCAGACUUCAUCUCUCUAACCUGACAGAUUUAACGAGGCGCAGCA